GAAAACACCCGAACUUAGAAAUCAUAUGUAGAUUUUUUUCUUUUUUGGUACAACAAUUAGACGCAGAGUUACAAGCAAGUGAUAAAAGCAACAUUUGAUGUUAUAUAAUAAAGUCUGGGGCACUCGAAAUUCCUGUUUACAGCAUCAUCAAAGUUUUAUUGCUAAUUAUAAAACACACAUCGAGAUAGGUAAGAACAUCGCAGCUUCCUAUCCUCUGAACAUUCCUGCUUUCUACUUGCGCAGGCCUUUGAAAUAGCUUUUUGGGUCUCGUUCAAAGUCAGCCCUGCGAAUGCGAUGAUCCCUUCCAGGAGCUUUCAUUGUCUUCCCAGGAGCUUUCAUUGUCUUCACAGGAUCAGGUUCUGGGCUUGAGAAGAGAGCGCUGCCAAUACCCCAGGCCAUAAGAGCUGCUCCUGCCACAGCACCAAUACAAAAGGCUAUUCCAGUUCCAUCGAUGCCUUCAUCUUCUGUUUCAGUCUUAGAACUUGCUGCACCUUUACCGCUAUUCAUUGCUCUGCAAGAGUUGAUUCUGUCCCUAUGUUUCUUUGAUUUCUAUUUGCAGGUUGCAUGGCAAUACAAGAGAGUGGAGGACUGCUUAUAUAGUACUGCAUCGUAGGAAACGGAGUCCUUUGUAUUUGAUAAGUAUGGGAAGCCAGCGCAUCACCUUUUGCUUUUGCAAACGUAAUGUGAGAAAUUGUUUUUUGUUACUUGGCGCCUAAGCUAUAACUUUGUUUAUUUUUUUGUUUUAAAAGUUUUUUAAAAAAGUUUAAAUUUUUUUAUUUUAAAUUAAUAUAUUUUUUAUUUUUAAAUUAUUUUAAUGUGCUGAUAUAAAAAAUAAUUUUAAAAAAAUAAAAAAUAUAUAUUUUGUAGAUAUAUUUUUAAAUGAAAAACAUUUUGAAAAAUAACUACAACCACAUUCCCAAACAAACCCUCAAAAAAUUUUUUUAUGAUUUAAUUAAUCUCAAUUUAAUUAGUCAAUUUUUUUUUAUGUUAGUGGGUAUAGUGAAAAUAACUUUAAGACUUGAAAAUCACUAUCUUUAAGUAUUUAUUGCUUUUAUUAUAUUUAAUGUGAAAGUUAAAAUAAUAUACCUUUAAGAUAUAACAAAAUCUUAACUUUAUAAAUAACAAUUUCUAUAAGUUUCUUAAGAAUUUUUAUUUUAUUUAUGGUAAACAUAAACAAAGAGUUUGUAAAAAAAAAAAAAAAAAAUAUUUUCUAAUUAAUUUAUGUUACUACAAACUGUUAUUUAUAAGUAACACUCUUUUGUAUCGAUUUUUCUAUAAAAUUUAAAGACAAGUUUCUUUAUAGUAUAUGUAGAAUUUAAGGACAUAACUAUUUAUACCAAUAUGUCUGUGAAUUUUAAAUUGCAACUUUUCUGCAAAUUAACUAAAUAACUUCGUAGAAGGUAUCAUACAUAAUUAAUUAUUUCUGAAAACUAGUUAAUUAACUUAAAUUAAUUAAAUCAAAAAGAAAAGCCAAAUGCAUCCUAUAUUUUGACUUUUCCUCCAACUUUAAAAUAUACUGAUUUGAUAUCCCUUAUAUCAUAAGAUAUAAAAAAAUUUCAUACUCAUCUUGAUCCUGGUAUAUUUUUUUAACAUCGUAGUAAUUUUAUAAAAAAUAAAUUAAAAUAAAUUAUGAAAUUUAAUUCAUAAUAAUUAUAUUUUUUUAAUUAUUUUUUAUUUAACAAUAUAAUAAAUUAUUUUUUAUUUAAUAAUAUGAUAGAAAAAAUAAACAAUUGUAAAAUUGAGUAUCAAUCUAAGAAAUAUUUAAAAAUCAUGAUAAUCCCUGUAAAAAGUAAAAUAAAUAACAAAGUUAAAUUUUCAAUAAAUUAAUUCAAUAUAUAUAUAUAUAUAUAUAUAUAUAUAUAUAUAUAUAUAUAUAUAUAUAUAUAUAUCCACUCCUCGGUUGGCUCUUGUUAAUAACUAUGGGAAAGAAAGACUCCUUCAUAUCUAAGUAAGUACUGUGGAAAUCAGCUCGUCACCUCUUGCUUUUGCAAAAGCAAUGGGUGGCGCCAAAAGCCGAUAUUGACCCCGUAAUUUCUUACUUUCUACGUCGCUGUGUUUCUUUAUAGUACCGCACUGGUUGGCACUGAAGCUGGCCAUCAUCUUCUUAAAGGAACUUUCAUGGCACUGUAGCCUCGUCAUAGGUUGAUUCAAGGUUGUCAUUUUCAUUUUGACAGGUAUUUUGUUUUUUCAAUUGGAAUGAAAUAUUUCAUCGUUUCGAAGUUGUACUGUUCAUCUAUAUAUAUAUAUAUAUUCAGUAAAUAUAAUUCAAAUUCAAGAUAAAUUAUCCAUUACAAAAUACAAACACAAUAUCAAGUAAUAUAAUUUUAAAAUUUAAAAUAUUCCUAAAUAGUCAAGAUUAAAAAAAAAAUUUCUUUUAUCUAACAUCAUAUUCCACAUCACCUAAGUCCUAAAUAGUGGAUUCAUUUUAGUAAGCUAUCUCUUAAUUUGAUUUAUCAAAAAAAUAUAUAUACUAAUGUAGAAAUCAAAGCCAUUUAUCAUAAAAGACAACUUUCUAAAGUGUUUUGUCCUUUGAAUUUAUGGCAAACCUAAAACUAUUAACAUUCCAGCAGUGUAAGUUAACAAAACUAAGUUCAUGCUUUUUUCAUUUUAGCUCUACAGACCGCAGAGACAAUUAUUUGAGAAGGGAAUGGAUGGCCACAAAGCGAGAUUUAAUGAGUCUUCUAGUUCUUUGCCAGGUUGCAAGGGGCUCCUUCUCUUUUAUGUUGAUUGAGCCGUUUUGAUUGAAAAGUCAGGUUGCAGCCUUGCAGGAGCAGCAGUGCAGUUAUUGCAGCAUGUAAGAUCAAGACAGCAACAAAGAAGAGAAAUUAGGGAUUUGGUAUUUUUGGUUUAGUUUACUUUAGACAUCAGAGAAAAAUAGCGUGGGUGUACUGUGCAGUUAAUGAAAAUGAACCGGGUUUAAUUUAAAGUCUUUGACUCGAUGGCUUUAACCCGAAACGGAACACAUGAAAUUCGGUUGGAACGUUCCGGCCGAAAUUUGACCGGAAUUUCCGGAUCAACCCGAGAUUUUAAGCGAGGUGAAACUUGUUUCGUUUUGUUUUUUUAACUGGUACGAGAUGUUUCGGGCAUUUCAACCGAAACGAAACGGUAUUAACAAUUUUGGGUUGAACAUCCCAAGCUCUCAAAUACAUGAGAGAAAAACAAGAAUAUUUAAAGGGGAAAGAGAGUGGAGUUACUGCAGUGGAUAAUUCCCAUCCUCACGCUACAGUGAGAUCAAAAGGUUUUUACAUGUAAAAAAAUAAUAUCAUGAUGGGAAAAAAAAUGACACUGUUAUGCCUUAACUAGCGAGUUAGACAGAAAAUAGAAAAAAUAAAAAUAAAUUAGAUCGAUAAAAAUAAAAUUGUAAAAAAAAAUAAUGUUUCUUUAUUAUUUUUACUAAAUUUAAUGUCUUGAUAUCAAAAUAAAAACAAAAAUAAAAAUAAUUAAUUUUUUAAAUAUAUUUUUAAAGAAAAAGCUACUUUUGAAAAUCUUAAGAAAAGGAUUCGAGAUGGCAGUUUUCUUGGAUACCAACAAUCAACCAUCUUAUUUGGGGAUCUAAAGAAUACUAGAUGUUGACCUUUUGUAGCAACGGACAUUUAUAUGAUUUGGGGCAAGGGUACUGGCCCAUGGUGCCCUCCUAAACCCCGGACCUUCUCCGACGGGAUUAAGAGCCCAAUACCCAGCUACUAGAAAACAGCAAUACACCGGGCCAGGCCCACCUCAUCAACUUCAUAGAUCAUAUCCAUGCUCAAGCUCAAACUAUAAAGGACCCAUUUGUUAGGCGAAAAAACCUACACCUGAGUCACCUUCUCCGAGUGUAAGCACACGACCUCAGCCCCAAGAUGAGAGAUCACAGCCUUGAUAUCAUAUCUUAAGCACAUUUAAUUUAAACAUCAAAUACAGUAAGUUUGGUGUUUAUAAAAUUGUAUAUGCAUAUUAUAUUAACACACCACCCUAUUGGUCCAACUAAUUAAUUUGUUCACGGAAGAUUAUGCAUACCAUCUGUGGCCAAGCCCCGCUAUUUCCUUGAGUAGAAUAUAAUUGUAGCUUUAGAGCAAAACCCAAUCUUAUUAUGCCGACUGAAUUGAUCCAUCAAAUUACUUAUUCUAGUUGAUUGAUUGCUUCUUAACUGGUAGAUCAGUUUUCUUUUAUUUUUUCUUUUUAUUUUUUUUUUUUCAAAACUGAAGUCUAAUUUAUCUUCAACGUUGUUUAGCAUCUUGUAAAGGGCAUUCAUAGCUUUCUUUCCGAGCCUGAGUAUAUGCUUUCAUUUGAUUCAAUAGAACGACAAGCACUCGAACAAGGUGUGUAAGGCAUGAUAGAUCAUAAAUAAUAUCUGCACAGAAUUGUAAGUAAAUAAAUUAGGACAAAGGGUAAUGGAUUCAGCAAGAGAUCGAGGCAAUAAAGCAAAACACAGACAGGAGUAUUUGCACCGAUAAUUAUUAGCUAAAAUUCCUUAUUUUAAUGGUAUAAAACUUUGACAAUUAACCAUAGACACUGGAAGAAAACAAAAAAUGAAAACUAUGCCACUCCAGAUAUUAUCCUACAAGCACACAUGCAAUAUAAUGAAAGGGUUGAAAGGACUUCUUACCCCGUCUAAUUAACUUAACAAAGUUAGUGAGGGUGGUUGAAGCUUGCUCGAGAGAAAAAAUGCAAGACUUUUGUCAACUUUGAAAAGUAAGCCUAUGCAUGUCCCAGGGCUCCUCUUUAAUUCAUCUUCUAAUAUUCGAUCCAAGGUAAACAAUGUUUUACUUUGCAAAACUGCAUCAUGAGCUUGAUUCAUGAGUUCAUAAUGCAUCGAUGUUCUGUGAACAAAUGAUGGAGCUCUAGCAGUUAGCGUUUGAGGCAAGUUUGGUAUAUUACAUAAAACACAACCUUGCAUCAAUAUUGUCCCCAGCUACCUAAAUAUAUACCCGUCUUUUUAUUGAUCAUUGCCUCAGGUCGGUGACGGACUCUUUAAUAUCCUUGGCAUAAUAAUUACCAUGAUCUCACCUGAUGAGCAAUGCUCAUAAUAAUUACCUAAGAGGACGGUGUCGUAUGUAUAUAGUUCAAGAGCCACUUUGCUCGCUAUCAAGAAAGACCACAUUAAUCCAGCGGGCAACAGCGCAGCAGUAUCAUGCCCCCGUAUAUGAUAUAAAAUUCUUUCACUUGAUUUGAUCAACACAAGCCCAUAUGAUCAUGUAACGAUACUGCCAAGACACCAGGCAUGGAAUUAUGAAACAUUAGGGUUGGAAAAAAGAGUGGAAAGCACAUAGCUAGCAAAAACAUUUGAUUGCUUGCAUUAACAAUAAACAUGCCACAUAUAUUGUGAAAUAUAUUGCAUAAAUAGCAAGCUGGUCAAAUUUGAGAGCAAAGGGUCUACAGCUUCAUGACAAGCACGUUCCUGAAAAGCCCCACGGGUGAAAAAUAAAAGAAACGAAGGGCCAACAUGAUUAAAUAACAAAAGAAAUGUAUAAAAGAAAGGAAAAGUAUAGCAUAAAUUAUAUUCAUUUGGUUCAGCAACGGGCAAUUGGCCAAGAUUGGCACAAUCUUCUUCUUCUUAUAAUUAAGAACUGGUGUCUUCUUAACACCCCAUCUCAGGAGAUGGGCAAGACAGACACAAGAUUACCAGGUUUCUGUCUAAACAGGAUCAGGCCUCGUGUUAGAGCCCGUCCACCACCUAUACAAGCCAAGCCUAAUCUGAAUUCUACUACAAAUGAUCAAAACAAUGAGAAUCCUGACAGUGUUGUUGGAGAUCAGGAGAAGCCUGGGAAUUCGGAGGGAAAACCUGUGGAGUUAAUCGGCAGGAAAAUCAUGAUAGUGGUUGAUUCGAGUAUUGAAGCUCAGGGAGCUUUACAAUGGGCACUAUCUCACACUGUUCAAAGCCAGGAUCUUCUUAUUCUUCUUCAUGUAACUAAAGAAUCUUCCAAGCAAGGUUGGUCUGCAUGUUAUUAUUUUUUUAAAAUCUUCUUCUUCGUGGGAUUGUUAGAUGUAUUUUUAGACAAUUAAACUGAGAAGGGCUUAACAUUUGACUGCAGCCACAGGGACAAAACCCCGCAAGGAGAGAGGAGCUCCAAGGGCCUGUGAACUUGUAAAUUCUGUGAAAAAUACGUGUCAGUUGAAGAGACCUGAGGUGGGUAUGAUUAAUUCAAUUUUUCUAGCUAUUUUUGUCUUGUUUAUAUAUUUAUAAAAUGGGGCGGACUGCAGAUACAAAUUGAGAUUGCAGUGGUGGAAGGAAAAGAGAAAGGUCCAUUGAUAGUGGAGGAGGCCAAGAAACAAGAGGUGGCACUUCUAGUUUUGGGGCAGAAAAAGAGGUCCAUGACAUGGCGGCUGAUCAUGAUGUGGGCAAGCAAUAGAGUCACCGGUGGUGUGGUGGAAUACUGUAUCCAAAAUGCUGAUUGCAUGGCAAUUGCUGUGAGGAGGAAAAGCCAAAAACAUGGAGGUUACUUGAUUACCACAAAGCGUCACAAAGAUUUCUGGCUUUUAGCUUAACCUAGCAUUUGCCUAAACAUGCAUGUAGCAUAUCAAUUUGAUGUUUCCCCUUUCAUACGUGGAGUUUUUGUUUUGUUACAUCGUUUGUAAAUCAAUGAUAAAUUCUACUCUGCUGCGAAAUUAUGAAAAAAGGAUGGAGAUUGGGGUGUGAAUUUAACUUGCGUCAUUAUUCAGGGCACCUGCUAUGAUGGCUAAGGGAGACGCAAUGGGGUCCCUCGAUUCCUUUGGAUCUCCUCCGUGUGCUACAGUAACCGGCUAAAGCACAUGGUUCCUGAGCUUUUUCGAUGAUGGUGAGGAUCAGUUAGUUAGGCCAUGGACCAUAGCUGGGGGCCUCGCCUUUAUCCACCUUCAACUGCCAUUGUUGUCACUUGAAGAUAAAAUACCAGUUACGCAUAUCCAAGUUCAUACCAUCGAAUUCGUAAUGCACCUUCAACGGGAACAACUGAUAAUAAAAUGGUUGACAAUGUAGGAUUAAUUUUCGCUGCACUCCCUCGAAGGUCCUGACUUUCUUAGAGAAGUCAACUAAUCAGAAUGAAAUGGCGUGGGUUUAAGCUAGCAAGGGUUUGAAUUCAUUCUGUUAAAGUAAUUAAGAUUACACACAAAAAGGAAACUAGAAUUCUGAAUAAUUUGUAUAUUAUAAAUGUAUAAUUUUAACCUAAAUACAAAUAAAAUAUAUAUAGAUUAAACUAAAAAUAUUAUUUUACCCUUAAUAAAUAGACUACAUAAAUAUUAUUUAACACAUUCAAGCCCAACAAUUUUCAGGAUGACAAUUGAGAAUUGUCAACUCUUAUGGCCAAGUGGGUUAACUUAAUAAUUUGGUGUGUUCGAGUCCUAUAUUGAGUUGAAUUUAUAAUUGAAUUGGACUUUUCAUGGACAAAACUCAACCGAUUCCGCUGGGUCAUAUAUAUUAAAAAAAAUACUGCAAAUGAAGAGAAAAAAUCAUAUCCGUGAAUCAAUCAUAUGAUGCGUUGGGAGUGUUAAACAUCGAGGCAACCUAGCUGAUUCGAAAGCUAUGCUCCAUGGGCCAACACUCGAUAACACAAGCUGGGUCAGGUGUUUGCUUUUUCUUCGGCAGUGCAUUGUGCACAGCUGGAGUCCCUCCACUGUUCUUUUCUUUUCUUUUCUUUCCCGAGGGUGAGAGCAAACAUGCCCUACAUUCCAGAAAGAAGAACUGAUUUACCCAGUUUGCCACGUGGAUUCGAGUGCAAAUAUCCACGAUACAUAAACUAAAGAAGGCCCCUUAUAGUGCCAGUCCUCUAUGGCAGAUGAUUUUUUUUAUGUCUUGUUUCUGAUCGGUGAAUUGACAACUACCGUAAAUAGGAACUCUAAGAGUUAAUUAUUAUUUUUCUAUAUAUAUAUAUAUAUAUAUAUAUAUAAAACGUCUCUUUCCCUGCUCUAAAAACAUUGGCCGGAUUCUUGUCCUUAUGUCUCAGGCCUUUGAAACCUUAAAUCUAACAUGGAUUGCAUGAACUCAGCUAAAAGGCCCAAUUCUGACCCCAUAGGGAUCCUGAUGUGGAAACAGAGCAUGAUGAAUUCAACUCAAACGCUUAGUGAUCAGGGAACAUAUUGUAGUUUUGGUGAUUUUCAAAGUGCGUUUAAAUUAAAAAAAAAAAAAAAAAAUAACGCUCAAUUUGUGUAGUAAAAUAAUUAAAAAAUCAAUUUAGUAUUUUUUUUUUAUAAACUAAAAGUAUAUUGAAGAGGCGUUUCUAGCUAUAUUACCGAAUACACACUCAUUUUUAUUUUCAGAUGCAUUUUGAUCUUGUAUAUUAUAUCAUGUUUUAAUAUAAGAUCUAAUAAGCAUUAGGUUAUACAAGUUCAUUGACCCUGGAUGAAACUAUUUUUUAAAAAAAAAUAAAAAAUGUCAAUAUUGCUUGAAUUUUAUUGAUAAUGAUGUUGUUUUGAUUAAAAAAAAUGAUAAAAAAACUCUAUAAAAACAAACAAGAACCAAUUAAUCCUACACAAAUCAAGAUGAAACAUGUCAUGAAAAUCAAUUAAAGAUGAACCAAAUGCUUAAAAAAAAACAGUAUUGCUUUUCUUAUUAAGAAAAAUAAGAUAAUAAUAUAUUUAAUCUAUCGGAUACUUUGCAACCUAAUACGCUAGACCUAUAAUUUGGUUCAUGGAAUCUAAUGGUUCGUUUUUAGUGCUGAACCCUGAAAUUGCCAUCAUAAGUUAAUUUAAUUUGUUGCUUAUAGAUGUAUGCCAAUCUCUAGAAUUCAUGUUAUUUAUUGCUUAAGUUGCUCCAAAACUAGUUGCUCCAAAUUUUCAGGAGAAGUAAGUAACAUUUUUCUUUCACCUGUUAUUGUCUUGUGCUGGUCUUAGUGUGGCAUGGAGGUAAACAUCUUUUGUAAUUUUGUUCCUGCAGUUUUGUGAAGGGUAGAGAUUAUGUUCAGGACCGUGAACAGGCUGAAAGGAGAAAGCUAAAGAAACUCCUAAGAAGAGAAGCUAAAGGGGCAGCUCGUGAAUUAUUUCUUAUUCAAGGUUGAAGAAAAUGAAAGGGCACUGCUGGAGGAUGAAUGAACAGAGAAUUAUGGAAAGGCGAGGGCUUUCCUCCAAGAACAAGAACACGCUUUCAAAUCUGGACAAUUAGGAAAGGGGAGGAAGAGAAGAAGGCGAACCUGAUUCUGGUGUUUGUUUUACUUGGAUGUUUAUUAUUUUCGUUAUAGUUGCAUCCUCAGAUAUCUAGUGGAAUUGGCUGGCUGUGGCUCAGAAGCCGGGGUCCCUAUAUAUAAAAGAAGCCAACCUGUUCCAUGUAAAAUUUUGGAUGUGCAAUAUUUGUAGUUUCUAACCAAGUUUUGAAAGAAAAUUUAGUUAGAAUUGGACUGUCCAAUCAGGAUUAAAAUUUCUGAAAUAUUCAGGAAUAACAAUUCAACAAAACAUAUUUUAUUUACGCCAUCUUUUUAGACUUGCUUUAUUGAUAUUCUACUUGUGCUUUCAUUGUUUUAGCACUGUUAGUAGGGCCAGAGCCUGGAAAAAAGGCUAUGCGCCAGAAGACCGAUCGCCGCCACUGCGCCAACCAGAGCAGCAAUUCGAGCUUCUUCGUUUCUUCCAGGCAUGUCUGGACCAUAAGCACCUGUUGCGGACCCUGUGGCUCUCUCUGUUUCACAAAUCUAUUUCGCCCUGGAGCUCCUGUUUCUGUUAUUCUCAGCCCCUGACUGUGGCCAAAUGAGAGUGGGGUUUAUAUAGUCAAUUUGUGAACUCGAGAGUCUUAUUGGAGAUGACCUGAAUUAUGGUCGAGUUUUCAUUGAAACAAGUGGGGAAAAUGAAUAUAGAAAAGGAAAAUAGUUUCGUAUCAGCCAACAAACUCCAAUACUCUCUAGAUUUUUUUCUCCCUUCUCUCCAGUUUUUGCUACUGGGUUAAUCUCUCAUUUUCAGUCUUCUAAUAAUCUUAAGAUUUGUUUUGAAUCGAAGAGAAUUCACUGUGUUUUCAUUUUCAAGUUUUUCAACAUGAGUGUAUGAUCUUUGAUAUCAUCAGAUUUUAGUUUGAUUCCAAUAAUGCAAUAUGGAUGUUGCUGAUUGGGAUGUCCAUUUGUUAUUUGUCCCUGUAUUUUUAGUAAAUUGAUACCAAGAUUUUAUAUUUUCUGGUUACAAAACUCAAACAAGCUUCUAGGAACAAAGAUUAAAGAUCGUUGUUAUUGCUGGUGAUGAUUUUAUUGUUUGAUUAAGGAAUAUAUGGCCAUUCUAUCUCCCUAUAUAAUUGAUAUUUCGUAGAGGAAAAAGAAACAACACCACUCAAAACCGUCGUCUAAAUCAAACCAUCGGUGGCCUUUCAAGGGAUUAACUGCAGCGUGUCUUCGUAACAGAAGCGUCUGCCUAGAAAAACACUCUGCCGCUAGCAUUCAUCAUUUUACCAAGUACAGUUUCAGUGCUUUUCGUUUCUUGCUUUUGACCCCUUGAUCGCUUUCAUUAUUUUCUAAAUCAACUAUAAGAGUUAGGUCAUCCCAGGCCAUUAAUUAUCCCUUCCCCAGAUUCUUCCUGAAAACACCCGAAUUUAGAAAUCAUACGUAGAGUUUUUUCUUUUCUGGUACACAACAAUUACACGCAGAGUUACAAGCAAGUGAUAAAAGCAUCGCUUGCUGUUAUAUAAUACAUAGCCUGGGGCACUCGAAAUUCCUGUUUACAGCAUCAUCAAAGUUUUAUUGGUAAUUAUAAAACACACAUCGAGAUAGGUAAGAACAUCGCAGCUUCCUAUCCUCUGAACAUUCCUGCUUUCUACUUGCGCAGGUCUUUGAAAUAGCUUUUUGGGUCUCGUUCAAAGUCAGCCCUGGGCAUGCGAUGAUCCCUUCCAGGAGCUUUCAUUGUCUUCCCAGGAUCAGGUUCUGGGCUUGAGAAGAGAGCACUGCCAAUACCCCAGGCCAAAAGAGCUGCUCCUGCCACAGCACCAAUAGCAGCGGCUAUUCCAGUUCCAUUGAUGCCUUCAUCUUCUGUUUCAGUCUUAGAACUUGCUGCACCUUUACCGCUAUUCAUUGCUCUGCAAAAGUUGAUUCUGUCCCUAUGUUUCUUUGAUUUCUAUUUGCAGGUUGCAUGGCAAUACAAGAGAGUGGAGGACUGCUUAUAUAGUACUGCAUCGUGGGAAACGGAGAGUCCUUUGUAUUUGAUAAGUAUGGGAAGCCAGCGUCACCUUUUGCUUUUGCAAACGUAAUGGGUGAAAUUUUUUUUGGCAGAAAAGAUAAGAUUUUGUUUAUUUUUAUAUUUUAAAAGUGUUUUUAAAUUUUUUUUUAAUUUUUUAACUUUAAAUUAAUAUAUUUUUUAUAUUUUUAAAUUAUUUUGAUGUGUUGAUAUCAAAAAUAAUUUUUAAAAAAUAAAAAAAUAUAUUAUUUUGAUAUAUUUUUAAGUGAAAAACACUUUGAAAAGAAACCAUAACUAUACUCCUUUCAAAAAAAAAUUUUUAUGGUUUCAUUAAACUCAAUUUAAUUACUCAAAUUUUUUAUGUCAGUGGGUAUAGUGAAAAUAACUUUAAGACUAUUUUUUAAGUAUUUAUUGUUUUUAUUAUAUUUACUGUGAAGUUAAAAUAAUAUAUCUUUAAGAUAUAACAAAAUCUUAAAUUUAUAUAUACCAACUUUUAUAAGUUUCUUAAGAAUUUUUAUUUUAUUUAUGGUAAACAUAAACAAAGAAUUUGUAGAAAAUUUUUGUUUUCUAAUUGAUUUCUGUUACUAUAAACUGCUAUUUAUAAGCAACACUCUAUCGUAUCAAUUUUUCUAUAAAAAUUAAAGACACAUCUUUUUAUAGUGCAUGUAGAAUUUAAAGACAUAAUUAUUUAUACCAAUAUGUCUGUUAAUUUCAUAUUGCAACUCUUCCGACAAAUUAACUAAAUAACUUGGCAGGAGAUAUAUCAUGCAUAAUUAAUUAUUUCUGAAAACUAGUUAAUUAACUUUAAAUUAAUUAAUUCAAAAAGAAAAGCCAAGUACCAUCAUAUAUUUUGACUUUCCCUCCAACUUUAAAAUAUAUUGAUUUUAUAUCUCUCACAUUAUAAGAUACAAAAAAAUCCAUACUUAUCCAAUAUGAGAUAAAGUUCUCUUUAUUUAUCUUCCUGAUACACACAAGGUAUUUUAUAAUAGAACUUGAAACCUCCUAAUUAUAUUCCUUGUAUAGCUCAUGCUUCAAAUUAAAUUGUAUAAAUAUUGUUUUUUUAUUUAAUAAUAUAUUGAAAAAAAUAUAUGCUAAAAAAGAACAUCAUUCUAAUGCUGGUAUGUUUUUUUAAUAUCAUAAUAAUUUCAUAAAAAAUAAAUUAAAAUAAAUUAUGAAAUUCAAUUUAUAAUAAUUAUAUAUUUUUUAAAUUAUUUCUUAUUUAACAAUAUAAUAAAUCAUUUUUUAUUUAAUACUAUGAUAGAGAAAAUAGACGAUUGUAAAAUUAAGUAUCAAUGUAAUAUUAAGAUAUUUUUCUAAGACCAUGGUAAUUCCCGUAUAAAGUAAAUUACAUAAAUAUAACAAAGUUAAAUUUUCAAUAAAUUAAUUUAAUAUAUUGUAAAAUAUACUAAAACGGAUCAGUGUUUUACUGUGGACCACAGUAAAACACUGAUACCUAUGCCUUAGUUGUGGUUUUUUUUGUUUAAUUUAGUUUAUUAAUGUUUUUUUUUAUAUUUAGUUAUUAAAUUUUCAUGAAACAUUUUUUGAGUUUAACGGGUUAACCUGGUUUGACAAGUUAAUCCAGAAUUUUUUUUUUGUUUUUUAUUAUUAUUUUUGUUUAGUUUAGUUUGUUAAUAUUAAAUUUCUUUCUAUUUAGUUAUCUGACUUCCAUGACACAUAUCUCGAGUUUCACGGGUGAACCUAGUUAAUUCUAGGUUGACCCGUCAAUUUUUUUUUGUUUUUUAUUUUCAUAAAUUUUUUUUGUUUAAUUUAGUUUGUUAAUGUUAAUUUUUUUUAUUUAGUUAUCAGACUUUUAUGACACAGAUCCUGAGUUUAACGGGUUAACAUGGUUUGACAAGUUAACCCAGAUUUUUUUUGUUUUUUUUUAAUUAAUUUUUUUUGUUUAGUUCAGUUUGUUAACGUUCACUUUUUUUUUUAUUUAGUUAUUAGACAUUCAUGACACGAAUCCUGGAUUUAACGGGUUAACCUGGUUUUACGAGUUAACCUGAUUUAUUUAUUUUUGCUUUUUUAUCUUUUUAAUUAUUUUUUUCAUUUAGUUUAAUUUUCUAAUGUUAAAUUUAUUUAUAUUUAGUUUUUUUUACUUCUUAGAGGUUUUUUGUAUUUUUAAUUAAUUUAGUUUAUUAAUAUUAAAUUUUUUUCUAUGUAGUUCUCGGCUGAUGCAAUUUUUUUUUUAUGCCUUUGAUUAUAGACUGCACAGUGCAGUCCACAGUGAAAAGGUUGAUGCCUUUUGUUUUUUUUUAAUUAAUUUUUUUGUUUAAUUUAAAUUGUUAAUGUUAAAUUUUUUUCUAUUUAAUUAUCAAACUUUCAUGACACGGACUCCGGGUUAACCUGAUUUAAUGAGUCAGCCCGGUUAAUUCUGGGUUAACCUAUUAAUUUGUUUUUUUCUAUUUAGUUAUCAAACUUUUACAACGUGAAUCUAAGGUUUGACGGGUUAACCUGGUUUGAAGUGUUAACCCAGUUAAUUCAUAAAGUUUUUCUUUUUCUUCAUUACUUUUUUUCUUCAUGUUGGUUUUUUUUUUGUUUCUUUUCUUUUUAAUGAAUCUAUUUAAUUAUAACACUUUUAUGACACGACCUUGCAAUCAGACCCAUGUCCAAUGCUAUUGAGUCUGGUAUUGCAGCCAAACUCACUUAAAUUUGGGUCAUGCAAAUUUAAUGUUAUUAUUAACAUUAUAGAUACUACUCUUGGGUUAGGCGUUGCAACUAAACCUAAGACUUUUAGGUAUAACUUUGUAAAAAAAUCUAAUAUUUUUAGAUUUUUUUUUGAAAUGUAAAAAAUAAUUGACUGCAUCGCGGGAGUAAUGUAAAACUAGUAUAUACAUAAAGCAAAAGGUUAAAGGUAAAGGUAAAAAAAAUGUUAUGAUUCCAAAGAACAAUAGCAUGUGGAGGGGGAAUAAUGAUUUCCACUCCUCCGUUGGCUCUUGUUAAUAACUAUGGGAAACAAAGAGUCCUUCAUAUCUAAGUAAGUACUGUGGAAAUGAGCUCGUCACCUCUUGCUUUUGCAAAAGCAAUGGGUGGCGCCAAAAGACGAUAUUGACCCGUAAUUUCUUACUUUCUACGUCGCUGUGUUUCUUUAUAGUACUGCACUGAGUUUGUUUAUAGUAUUGCACUGGUUGGCACUGAAGCUGGCCAUCAUCUUCUUAAAGCAACUUUCAUGGCACCAUUCUCAUUUAUCCUUUUUUGUUAAACGAGGAGAGGCUGGGAUGUGUAGCCUAUGAAUAGGCUACAUCCCAAGCCUCUCAAAUACAUGAGAGAAAAACAAGAAUAUUUAAAGGGGAAAGAGAGUAACCCCACAAAAUUAUGCAAGUUAUAUUGAAAGCGAGUGUGUGGGAUAUUUUCUCUAGAGAGAUUACUAAUUGUUAUCGUUAUUGUUUAUUAAUAACGAGGGAUUAUAAUUCUCGUAAAACUUACCCGUGAACUUAACCAAGUUUAAAUUAACCAUGCAAAUUCUCGUAUGUUUUAUUUUUUUAUUUUACCCUAUUCUUUUUGAGUUUUGUAUUGUCGGGUGAUCCUAACAGUAAUUCUCUCCAUGAUUGGCUAUCCACUGGCCCGUGUUAGGAGAAGGGCACCCGUUAAAGUUCCAGUUCAGGGAAGAAAACUUGCUGGUGUAGAAGCCUAAGAGCCCAAUGCCGCUAGCAUUCCUCGUUUUACUAAAUACAGUUUCAGUGCUUUUCGUUUCUUGCUUUUGACUCCUUGAUCGCUUUCAUUGUUUUCUAAAUCAACUAUACGAGAGAGGUCAUCCCAGGCCAUUAAUUAUCCCUUCUUCCUGAAAACACCCGAAUUUAGAAAUCAUAUGUAGAGUUUUUUCUUUUUGGUACAACAAUUAGACGCAGAGUUACAAACAAGUAAUAAAAGCACCGUUUGCUGUUAUAUAAUAAAGUCUGGGGCACUGGAAAUUCCUGUUUACAGCAUCAUCAAAGUUUUAUUGGUAAUUAUAAAACACACAUCGAGAUAGGUAAGAACAUCGCAGCUUCCUAUCCUCUGAACAUUCCUGCUUUCUACUUGCGCAGGCCUUUGAAAUAGCUUUUUGGGUCUCGUUCAAAGUCAGCCCUGGGCAUGCGAUAAUCCCUUCCAGGAGCUUUCAUUGUCUUCCCAGGAUCUGAGCUUGAGAAGAGAGCACUGCCAAUACCCCAGGCCAAAAGAGCUGCUCCUGCCACAGCACCAAUAGCAACGGCUAUUCCAGUUACAUCGAUGCCUUCAUCUUCUGUUUCAGUCUUAGAACUUGCUGCACCUUCAAUGCUCUUCAUUGCUCUGCGAAAGUUGAUUCUGUCCCUAUGUUUCUUUACUUUGUAUUUGCAGGUUGCUUGGCAAUACAAGAGAGUGGAGGACUGCUUAU
rnacentral:lncRNA from 1 species